rnacentral:rRNA from 1 species
UCUGGCUCCGUUCCGGGGUCCGAGUUGUAAUUUGUAGAGGAUGCUUCGGGCGCGGCACCGGUCUAAGUCCCUUGGAACAGGGCGUCAUAGAGGGUGAGGAUCCCGUAUGUGACCGGUGACCAAGUCCAGGUGAAGCUCCUUCGACGAGUCGAGUUGUUUGGGAAUGCAGCUCAAAAUGGGUGGUAAAUUUCAUCUAAAGCUAAAUACCGGCCAGAGACCGAUAGCGCACAAGUAGAGUGAUCGAAAGAUGAAAAGCACUUUGGAAAGAGAGUCAAAAAGUACGUGAAAUUGUUGAAAGGGAAGCGCUUGUAACCAGACCCUGCCGUCGGGUGCUCAGCGGGCACUUGUGCCCGCCUAUUCACCCGCGAUCAGGCCAGCAUCGGUUUUGGCGGCCGGAUAAAGACUCGAGGAAUGUAGCUUCGCUUCGGGGAAGUGUUAUAGCCUCGGGUGCAAUACGGCCAGCCGGGACCGAGGACCGCGCUUCGGCUAGGAUGCUGGCGUAAUGGUUGCAAGCGACCCGUCUUGAAACACGGACCAAGGAGUCUAACAUCUAUGCGAGUGUUUGGGUGUCAAACCCAUGCGCGGAAUGAAAGUGAACGGAGGUGGGAACCCUCAAGGGCGCACCAUCGACCGAUCCGGAAGUUUACGGAUGGAUUUGAGUAUGAGCAUAGCUGUUGGGACCCGAAAGAUGGUGAACUAUGCCUGAAUAGGGUGAAGCCAGAGGAAACUCUGGUGGAGGCUCGCAGCGGUUCUGACGUGCAAAUCGAUCGUCAAAUUUGGGUAUAGGGGCGAAAGACUAAUCGAACCAUCUAGUAGCUGGUUCCUGCCGAAGUUUCGUAAGUCCUUCCCGAGGAGCCCCCUUAAUAUAAGCCUAUACUAACAAUUUCAAUAGCCUCAGGAUAGCAGUAACGUUUUCAGUUUUAUGAGGUAAAGCGAAUGAUUAGAAGCCUUGGGGAUGAAACAUCCUUAACUUAUUCUCAAACUUUAAAUAUGUAAGAAGUCCUUGUUACUUAGUUGAACGUGGACAUUUGAAUGCACCGUUACUAGUGGGCCAUUUUUGGUAAGCAGAACUGGCGAUGCGGGAUGAACCGAACGUGGGGUUAAGGUGCCGGAAUGUACGCUCAUCAGACACCAGGGGGAAGACUUGUGGUGUCGGGCUGGGGGGAGACCCCCCCAGCGUCAGUCUGCUCAAGGCGAGGUCUUUGACCUGUUAGGGGUCGGUGGUCGCUCCGCGAUGGCCUACCCUCCGCUGUCCCCCGCCGCGGGGGCAGCUCACAGAUCAAGCAAAGGCCGGCGGCAGGAUGCCGUUGGAGAUAUGAUCGGCCCCCGGAGG